UGUCGGACUUUUUUUUUCUUUUUUUUUUGCUUCAACCUUAUCUUUUCAUGUAUUUCAUGGAAACUGAGAAGUCAUUUUCACUUCUCUCCUUUGCAUACGACAACGAUUCGAGUUUUGGAGCGACCAUUGUGCGUCUCCAAAUCUCAUAGCCAAAAAAGAACGAAUCUAGAUCUGAUUGGAAGGGGUAACUGGCGGAACUACAAAAGAAGGUAUUUUGACACCAUUAUUUUUGCUUUAAACUUUAUUUAUGAUUUUAAUGUUUGGUUCAUGUAAAACGAGCCCCGCCGAAGUUUCUGACGGUACAACUUCUAUAGCUAACAUAAGUUUCUAGGUUCGUGGGUUGAGGCAAAACUUGAUGGAUGAAGAAAAACAUGGGACUAUAUUGUAUGAUGCAUGUAAAUAGUAUAUACAACCGUACGUAUUUUUUUUAGUUCAUGCAUGAUUUUAAUGUUUGGUUCAUGUAAAACGAGUCCUUUGAUCUAUAUACCUUUGGACUUACUGAAAGAAUAUUCUCAGAUAUUCUGUUUAGUUUGUAAAUCUCCUGUAAUAUAGGAAGAUCAUACUCUCCUCUAACAAACUCGAUUA